UAACAUUUAUUUAUUUUUGAGACAGAGAGAGACAGAGCAUGAAUGGGGGAGGGUCAGAGAGAGGGAGACACAGAAUCCGAAACAGGCUCCAGGCUCUGAGCUGUCAACACAGAGCCCGACGCGGGGCUCGAACUCACGUACCCCGAGAUCGUGACCUGAGCCGAAGUCGGCCGCUCAACCGACUGAGCCACCCAGGCGCCCCCCAAAACCUUUAAAAACAGAGUUUUAACAGAAGUUUUCAGCAAACUUAUUAGAUGAUAAAAACAUAACCUUAACUAAGGAGUAACCAUUUGUGUUGUUGGCUUUCUUUCUGCAAGAUCUAAGAGGCCCGGUGGAAUCAAUAUUCCCAAAACGCUUCCCAGGGUUAUGAGACCUGCUGAAAGUGUAAGCACUGGGAAAUGCUGACCCAGUCAUUCAAAAUUAUGGUGAGCAAGAGUCAAGAGUCUUCCCAACCAGAGGUGUCGCUGUUGCAAAGGGGCCCUCUCACCCAGGUUUCAGGAAUUACAGUUGUCCCUGAAAAGACAAAACACUUUGCCAGGAAGUCUUUGGCAGAGGCAGCCCUGUAAGUCAGAAGUUCCAGACUCCUCAAGCCUCAGUGACACAGAUGUAAGCGGUUACCAGUGCGGACCCGUGCUGCCUGACUGCACGUAGCGACAUGAUGCACCUAAGGGCCUGGGCUUCUUCCUGUGAUAGAAAAGGGAGGCUACCUCCACGUGUGUAGGGACUUGGCUGGAACAACAGGAGUAGGACCACUAUGUUUUGAAAAAUGCAAAGAGAUUUUUUUAAUGGAGCAGAAAAGCUAGUUACAUCACUGGGGUUUGCCCAUCAUUAAAUUCAUUUGGUUUAUUUUAUAUUAUGUCUGACCUGCAUGUGUGAGGCUGUAAAUUCUUCUAUGUUUGGUAAAACACUGAGCAAGAAGGCACAACUGACUACUAGAUAUUCAAUACCUAUCUUUUCUUUUCUUUUUUUUUAGAGAGAGAGAGAAUGUAUGGGGGGGACGGGCAGAGGGAGAAAGUCUGGUUUUUUUUUAAUGUUUAUUUAUUUUUGAGACAGAGAGUGGCAGAGAGAAGGGGCAAAGAGAGAGAGAGUGACAGAGAAACCAAAGUGGGCUCAGCACUGACAGCAGAGAGCCCGAUGUGGGUCUUGAACUCAUGAACCAUGAGAUCACAUGACAUGAGCCAAAGUCAGACACUUAACUGGGUGAGCCACCCACCCUGAAAGAGAGAGAGAGAGAGAGGGAGGGAGAGUCUUAAGCAGACUCCACACUCAGCAUGGGGCCCAGUGCGGGACUCGACCCCAUGACCCUGAGAUCAUGACCUGAGCUGAAAUCAAGAGCCAGACGCUCAACUGACUGAACCAUCCAGACACCCCUCAAGACCUCAUUUUUAAUGUUGGUCAAAAGGUACACACGUUCACAAUUCUCCCAUUAUUUCUAAGUAUGAUGACUGAAGACCUGAUUUUGUUGCUUUAAUGCAAUCAAUUGUUAAAGUGUUUUAAAGUAUGGUUUUCUUUACAUGGGUUUUUCGUUUUGUUUUGGUUUGGUUUUUUUUAAAGAGGGAAAAAUAGAAGGUAAUGACAUAUACGGAAAAAAACGGAUUUGGAUCAAAACUCCUUUAAAAUUUUUUUUUUAACAUUUAUUCAUUUUUCAGAGUGAGAGAGACAGAGCAUGAGUUGGGGAGGGGCAGAGAGAGAGGGAGACACAGAAUCCGAAGCAGGCUCCAGGCUCUGAGCUGUCAGCACAGAGCCUGACUCAGGGCUGGAGCUCACAAACUGCGAGUUCAUGACCUGAGCUGAAGUCAGACGCUUAACUGACUGAGCCACCCAGGCGCCCCUGGACUAAAACUCCUUAAAGAGAAAUUUUUAUUUCUAUGGAAACACAAUUUUAAACACAAUUUAAAAAGACAAGUAGGUGAAAAUAUAUGGUGUAAGUUUUUUGGAAAACAUUUCUCAAAGUUUCCAUAAGUGUCUCUGUUUAUAAACAACUUUAAAAUUAAUUUUGUUGCCUUAGGGGCCAGAAAUUUAGAUUCAAACAAGGGACAUCUGGAGAUGCUUAGUAAGUGAAAUAGAUAUUCUGAAUGAGGCAUCGUUCUGUGGAAGUUAAGAGGAAUACACUGAUGCUUUAAAAAAAAUUUAUGUUUAUUUAUUUUUGAAGGAGAGAGAGAGAGAGAGAGAGAGUAUGAGUGGAGGAGGGGGAGAGAGAGAGGGAGACACAGAAUGUGAAGCAGGCUCCAGGCUUCGAGCGGUCACCACAGAGCCCAAUGUGGGGCUGGAACUCACAAACCACGAGAUCAUGACCUGAGCCAAAGUUGGACGCUUAACCGGCUGAGCCACCCAGGUGCCCCAGUACACUGAUGCUUUUUAGAUGCUUAAAUAUACCAGCACUAAGUUUUGGGUUUUUUUGUUUUUUUUUUUUUACAGAUGAAUGCUAAUUCACCCUGAGUUGAUGUACAUAAGAUUAGUGUUACAUUUCUAUAUUAGCUGUUUAUAAAAUAAAAUAUGAUAGGGUCUGAGGAGUCUUCCAUUGGAAAGUGAAGGCAGUAGCUCUCACUAGAACUUCUCAACUCAAAGCAAACAAACUCAUGAAUAGGCUCCCUAUAAUCAUGAAGGCAGUGUCUAACUUACAGUCUAUUUAAUCUACAAUGCAGAAAGGGAAUGCAAGUUCUAAUUUUUCAAGUUUAGAAUGUGCAAUUUUGGAAAGGCCGUGUUGUUUAAAAGCAAAGGAAGAGGAAGAAAAUCCUGCUGUAAUCACUGUGCCUAAGAUAAUUAUGCUCUCAUUAAAAAAAAAAAUGUUCUGAGACUGCUAUAGACUGAAUGAAUAUUCAUACCCAACCCCCCACCCCCACCCCAGGUUUCAUUUGUUGAAAUCCUAACCCCACAAUGUGAUGGUGUUGGGAGGUGGGGACCUUUGGGAGGUGAUGAGGUCAUGGUGGAGCCCUUGUGAAUCGCAUCAGUGCCCUCAUAAAAGAGACCCCAGAGAGCACCCUCGCCCAUUCUGCCACGUGAGGACACAGAGGGAGGAUGGCCACCUCCCAACCCGGAAGUGGGGCCUCCUCACCAGGCACUGAAUAUGCCUCCCCUUGACCUUGGACUUCCCAGCCUCCAGAACUGUGAGAAAUAAACAUCUGUUGGUUAUAAGCC